rnacentral:rRNA from 1 species
GUAUAGGAACUUGCCUAGUAGUGGGGGACAACGUGUGGAAACGCACGCUAAUACCGCAUAAGCUCUACGGAGGAAAACGGGGGAUCUUCGGACCUCGUGCUACUAGAUGGGCCUAUAUUGGAUUAGCUAGUUGGUGAGGUAAAGGCUCACCAAGGCGACGAUCUCUAGCUGGUUUGAGAGGAUGAUCAGCCACACUGGGACUGAGACACGGCCCAGACUCCUACGGGAGGCAGCAGUGGGGAAUAUUGCACAAUGGAGGAAACUCUGAUGCAGCGAUGCCGCGUGAGUGAAGAAGGCCUUUGGGUUGUAAAGCUCUUUCGUCGGGGAAGAAAAUGACUGUACCCGAAUAAGAAGGUCCGGCUAACUUCGUGCCAGCAGCCGCGGUAAUACGAAGGGACCUAGCGUAGUUCGGAAUUACUGGGCUUAAAGAGUUCGUAGGUGGUUGAAAAAGUUGGUGGUGAAAUCCCAGAGCUUAACUCUGGAACUGCCAUCAAAACUUUUCAGCUAGAGUAUGAUAGAGGAAAGCAGAAUUUCUAGUGUAGAGGUGAAAUUCGUAGAUAUUAGAAAGAAUACCAAUUGCGAAGGCAGCUUUCUGGAUCAUUACUGACACUGAGGAACGAAAGCAUGGGUAGCGAAGAGGAUUAGAUACCCUCGUAGUCCAUGCCGUAAACGAUGUGUGUUAGACGUUGGAAAUUUAUUUUCAGUGUCGCAGGGAAACCGAUAAACACACCGCCUGGGGAGUACGACCGCAAGGUUAAAACUCAAAUGAAUUGACGGGGACCCGCACAAGUAGUGGAGCAUGUGGUUUAAUUCGAAGAUACGCGCAGAACCUUACCAACACUUGACAUGUUCGUCGCGACUCUAAGAGAUUAGAGUUUUCGGUUCGGCCGGACGAAACACAGGUGCUGCAUGGCUGUCGUCAGCUCGUGUCGUGAGAUGUUGGGUUAAGUCCCGCAACGAGCGCAACCCUCACUUUUAGUUGCCAUCAUUAAGUUGGGCACUCUGAAAGAACUGCCAGUGAUAAGCUGGAGGAAGGUGGGGAUGACGUCAAGUCCUCAUGGCCCUUACGUGUUGGGCUACACACGUGCUACAAUGGCAUCUACAACAGGAAGCAAAACGGCAACGUUAAGCAAAUCCCGAAAAGAUGCCUCAGUUCGGAUUGCACUCUGCAACUCGAGUGCAUGAAGCUGGAAUUACUAGUAAUCGUGGAUCAGCGUGCCACGGUGAAUGCGUUCCCGGGUCUUGUACACACCGCCCGUCACACCAUGGGAGUUGGUUCUACCUUAAGGCAAGGUUUUAAACCCUUGACCACGGUAUAGUCAGCGACUGGGGUGAAGUCGUAACAAGGUAGCCGUAGGGGAACCUGCGGCUG